AAAGAUUCAGCUGCUCUGAGUGUGGGAGAAGAUUUGGCCGCAAGACACACUUAAAGAGACACAUGAUGACUCACACUGGAGAAAAACCUUUUAGCUGCUCACUGCUCUGAGUGUGGGAGGAGAUUUGGCUUCAAGUCAGAACUGAAGAGACACAUGACGACUCAUACAGGAGAGAAACCUUUCAGCUGCCCUGAGUGUGGUAAAGCUUUCUCUGAUAAUGGAUACCUAAAAAAACACAUGAUGACUCACACAAGAGAGAAACCUUUCAGCUGCCCUGAGUGUGGUAAAGCUUUCUCUGAUAAUGGAUACCUAAAAAAACACAUGAUGACUCACACAAGAGAGAGACAUUUUAGCUGCUCAGUCUGUAAGAAAUCUUUUACACUGAGAAAAUAUUUACAGGAACAUAUGAGAACUCACACAG